UGUGGCACCAUUACCUCCUUUACUUCAACAGUUAUUGAUGACAAAAGAAAACACCUCUAUGCCUGCCCUUGUGAGAGAGAGGAGAAGGAUACCUCACUACUACUGAUGUGGGAAUCAUCCACAUUCACAACAUGAGCUACUCUCUCAUACGGGGCAACAUAAUAUCACUGCAGAGGGAACUGUAAAUGCAUAGUGGCAGAUCAUAUUGAUCCAUACAGUAGUAGUAGGCAAAAUGAAAGAAAGAGUGGAUGCUGCUGUUUUUCAUAAGAAGGUAAAACACCAUGCACAACAGAGCUCUUCUGUUAGAGGAUACCAUUUUUAUUCAGGAAACCUCAUUAUAAGCUCUCAGCACGAUUCAGAGGCUCUAAAGCAAGAUCCUCUAGCAAUAAAGGCCAUCAUCGUCUCACCUACUCUUUCUCUACUCAAUGGGACAUAUUGUUUUUACAGAUCCAUGCUGAGCUUAGUGGGAUUUAGAUGAAAAUCUGAAUCCUGAAACCUCUGGUAAGCCAUUCAUGCGGCUCUACCUGUGGAGCCCUGAGUGUGACUUUGCACUUGGUCAAACCUUUGACCCACGGGCAUGUUUAGGCUGAUGCUGCGGGCUGGGCUCUGAUGUGUUCUUGUCCCUAUGGUCAUUCUAGUCUCCCAGGAGACUAUAUGGACAUGAUCUCUCCCUCCUGUGCAUGCAUGCGUGUGUGAUCUCUCCUGUGGUCACUCUGGUGUAACAGAAGAGCAUGGGAAAUGACUUCAUGACCCCUGUGUGAUCUCUCUGAAGAGAGGACUAUGGAGGGUCUGGGUCAGAGGAAUGGUGCUUUACCAAACAUUCGGUGUGUGAGGCGGCUGGAAAUUGACGCUAGGGUCAGAGCCCUCUAAUUAGAGCUAAAUGAUGAGGACAAACCAGGACAUCUGGGGAUGUUGCAUUUGGGUAGUGAUUUUUAGAUGUGCAAUAAAUUGUGAUAUAUUGGUGCGUAUUGUGCAAUAAUUACAUGAACACAUGUAUCGGAUGAGGUGAAGUCUCAAUGGUUGGUAUGAGUUGAGUUUGAGUGUAGGGAGAUAGGGUGAUACACCUACUGUGUAGUGUUUUUAUUUGUACAAAUGUCACAUUCUUUUGAAUACAAUACAUCGUCAUUAAUAAAAUAGCUAUUCCAUUCUCACUGUAAACUAGUUUUAAUUAUUUAAUUUCUUAUCACAAAGGCAGUUAAUUACAUUAGUUACAACAGGAGUAAAAAUAUCCAUAUUUGUGGUAGGGCCUAUAUACUGUAUCUUAAAUUGUUUUAAACAAAUAUCACAGUUCUUUAAACAUAAGGAUAAUUGAAAAACACAACUCAGUGACAGACAGUAUCUAUUUCCUUGACAUUCUCAAUGUAAAGGUUCUUAAUGUUUUUUUCUUUGUUAUAUUGAUAGAUAUUAAACAAAAACAACAUCAACAAAUAGAGAAACAAUGAUAACAAUCAGAAACAAAAUAGUGUAAUAGAAAAAAAGUACAAUAAUAAUAACAAAAACAUAAAAAUGAAAAUAAAACAUUUAAAAAAAAGAUUUCCACAUAGUUGCCCAACCUUCUGCUCAGAAACACACCCAACAUCUCACUAUGCAACAGGUUUACGUAUCGGCACAAACAGUAUGGUAUCCCCUUACUCCCUUUACACUGAGUUAAAGUGGACAUGAAAUCUUAUUCAAAUCUGUUCAUAUACACUCCCAGUGUAUAUAUAUUUUAACACUGACCAUUUUACUUGCCCUAGCAGAGCUGGUUAGGCUGUUUUCAUGUUAUCUAGACCGUUGGUGACUAACUGUACUGCUGGCAACAAUUGAAUUACUUUUUUUGCCGACAUUUACUGACACCAGUCAUAUUCAGAGGGUGUUGAAAGUUGGUAAAUUCAUCAGUUAUUCUGCGCUCUGGUACACUCAGACAAGUGCUCUGAAAUCGGAGGAGUUAGUCAGACUGAAUUUAUGAACGCAAGAGAUAUGCUAACUGGACAACAGUUGUUCAAGUUCAGCAUAGCUAGCUAGCAAAACGAUUCACAAUUCUUGCUAACUAACCAAGUGACGCCUGCAUCUCUAGCUGCAGCCACCGGCAAAUUAUAUGAGGGGGGAAACCCACUCAUCCAAUGACAAGACAUCCUCCUAGCAGCUAGCUCAGGUGGAGGCAGCCAACACUGUACCAGGCCAGCUGGGAUUUACAACCUGAUGGAUUGCCAUCACCACGGCAGCAUUACCACAGCCUGGCCAUGUCUACCUGUGACUCCAAGCAAAACUCUAGAUUCCACCCCCUGGAUCCUUCAUCCGCAGCCCUCUGCUUCAUCUGGUCCAUUCUCAUUCUCCUCUUGAAUCCUCAUUCUCACGUCCAUUCCAUAUCCUCAAUAAAAAUUCUAAACCCAUUUCAAUGUCUGGUCCUUAACUUGUGAAAUUCCAGUUUUGACCAAUGAAA